UGGGGAAUAUUGCGCAAUGGGCGAAAGCCUGACGCAGCGACGCCGCGUGAGUGAAGAAGUUUUUCGGAAUGUAAAGCUCUGUCAAGAGGGAAAAUUAUGAUGGUACCUCUAAAGGAAGCCCCGGCUAAUUACGUGCCAGCAGCCGCGGUAAUACGUAAGGGGCGAGCGUUAUCCGGAUUUAUUGGGCAUAAAGGGCGCGUAGGUGGUAUGUUAAGUCAGAUGUUAAAGGCCUUGGCUUACCCAAGGUUCGCAUUUGAAACUGAUGUACUAGAGGUUAGUAGAGGAAAGCGGAACUCACAGUGUAGCGGUGAAAUGCGUAGAUAUUGUGAGGAACACCAGUUGCGAAGGCGGCUUUCUGGCCUAAUACUGACACUGAGGCGCGAAAGCGUGGGGAGCAAACGGG
rnacentral:rRNA from 1 species